ACUGGUGGUUGUGGCCACCAGCGUACAUGACCUGAGGCGUUCCUCUCCCACCACCACCGUUCAUCCCACCCGCACGCGCACACAGCAAAGCAAAACCAAAGCAAAGCAAAGCUUCGUUUCCGCUGCCCCCCACAGGCCACUGGAGGAGGAAGAGCACGCAGCAUCGCCUCUCUAGCGGCGGCGCAUGGCAUAGGCAUCGCCUACGCCCCCCCCCCCCCCCCCCCCCCUCCCAAUCCCGCCCAAGAAUGAGAGCUUGGGCCUCCACUACAAGAGAGAGACCCACCACCACCACCAUCAACAACAGCAGGAGAUAGAUGGACAACUGCGGGACGCGAGAGGAGAAUGCCGUCGUCGCGGCGCACGCCCAAGGGACAAUUUACAGGCACUUCCCCCAAUAGUGCUGCAAUUUCUGUGCUAUCUGCUUCACUGAGGCACUGUUGACUUUCAGUUUAACAGAAAAUAGACUUAUGAUCCUGCAAGUUGGAAAAACAUAAUCACUUCUUGCAGUUUGCUGCAUUGUUUAAGCAAUUUGGAGCCCUUUUUUUUAUUGCAUGCAACUGUGCAGUAGAUCUGGUCUCCUGGUCCUGUUUACCUCUUGCUGUAAUCAACUUGCCCAUGUAUGUACUUUUUUUACAGUAUUUUUAAGUAGAAUACCAUUUUAUAAUUGCUAGGAAUCGCCAACGCUCGUUUCCAGUAGUUCUCUUGUUAGUUUGUGAUUAUAGCUUUCCUAAACGUAUUUCAGCAGGAUUAGCUCUCUUUCAUCCAACCAUCUCUGUGAAUGCUCAAAAUUCAAUAUGAAAAAAAAGCUUGCCUUUUAUCUUAUAUGUAUAAGAAUUUAUGGUAACCUUAAUUCGUUUUUACCUUGACUA